GACGAACCGUGCGAACGUUGUUCGGAAUCACUGGGCUUAAAGGGCGCGUAGGCGGGCUCCCAAGUCUGGGGUGAAAUCUUUCGGCUUAACCGGAAAAGUGCCUCGGAUACUGGGAGCCUUGAGGGAGGCAGGGGCGGAUGGAACUUCCGGUGGAGCGGUGAAAUGCGUUGAUAUCGGAAGGAACGCCGGUGGCGAAAGCGACCUGCUGGAUCUCUACUGACGCUGAGGCGCGAAAGCCAGGGGAGCAAACGGG
rnacentral:rRNA from 1 species